CCUACGGGAGGCAGCAGUGGGGAAUAUUGCGCAAUGGGCGAAAGCCUGACGCAGCGACGCCGCGUGAGGGAUGAAGGUCUUCGGAUCGUAAACCUCUGUCAGCAGGGAAGAACGGUCACUGUGCUAAUCAGCAGUGAAUUGACGGUACCUGCAAAGGAAGCACCGGCUAACUCCGUGCCAGCAGCCGCGGUAAUACGGAGGGUGCGAGCGUUAAUCGGAAUUACUGGGCGUAAAGCGGUCGUAGGCGGUAUGUCAAGUAAAGGGGGAAAUCCCCGCGCUCAACGUGGGAACUGACUUUGAAACUGGCAAACUGGAGUGUGUGAGAGGAUAGUGGAAUUCCAGGUGUAGGAGUGAAAUCCGGAGAUAUCUGGAGGAACAUCAGUGGCGAAGGCGACUAUCUGGCACAUAACUGACGCUGAGGAGCGAAAGCGUGGGUAGCAAACAGGAUUAGAUACCCCAGUAGUC
rnacentral:rRNA from 1 species